GAUGAUGAUGAUGAUGAUGAUGAUAAUGAUGAGAGGAAGGCAAAUAGAACACAAGAGAAAGUUAACAUGAUAGGGAUACAAUUAGCCUAUUGAAUAUAAUAUGAAAGACGCAGCUCUUAACAGGCAAGCAGCAUUGAUCUAGUUUAAAACAGCAUGUUCUAUUUAUCUUGCUAGCAGAUAAGACAAUGUCUCUAAUCAAAUAUAAUAGGCAGAGGGAGUUUAAUUAAAAUCAAAUGACUUUCUUGUCUUUUGAUAAUGUGCAUAAAUGAUAAAUCAAUCUGUGAGCUUCUAGCCUCUAGAGAUGAGACGAUAUGUCCAGAAUGACAUAACACCACAGCUAUUUAUAGAACCAAUUUCAAGCCUCGUCACUCAAAGGUAGACAGUCUCGUUGUACAACUCAAUAAAGAAACAGUGUUAUCAGAGUAAAAUAACAAGCCUUUAAUGGGUCUGUACAGAGAGGGAGACUGAGAGGGAGAAGGAGAUUUGAAGAAGGAAUCAGAGAUGGGUAGGCUAGUUUAAGGUGUAUAUUUCUCUCUCCAUCGCUCUCUGGUAAAAGCAUGGGGGUAUUAUCAGUUUGGUGGACUAAAAUGUGCAUCCACAUGACGUCUGACCCAGUGUUAGACAGUGAUGUAGGUAGACAGGUCUUUUGUGAGUUCUCAUAACUUCCCAUGUCUCUGUGUGAUUGACAACAGACACAGACUGGUCCUGAUGAGGAUCUGUUGUAAUGAAGACCAGACUGAGAGGAAUGAAGAAUGAAGCCAGGACAGAUCCUCCCUACACUCACUCCUUCCUUUGGCUCCUCACUCUGAAACUCAUAUUUUUAAUCUGCCUCUCAGAUAAAGCACACUCCUGCAUAACCUAGAAUAGGACAGACAGACAGAGAAUCUCUAAAGAUGGGCUGAGAAAAUUUUGAAGAGAAGGCCAUAAUCCUCCUAUUUGCAUAUCCAGAUGUGGAGAUAUGCAGAGGAAACGAAAGCUCAUUGAAGAACAAUGAGGAAUCAAGUCUAAUUGCCGUACAGCGGGCAGGUAAUACAAAGCACAUCAUAAUCCCAAUAUGACCCAUUUCAAGUGAAAUAGAUUUUGUCUAACUCAUUUGUGAAAUUCCCAUUGUCUCUGUGAGAGGAAAAUCGUUUCAGUACUGUAUAUUCAUUGGGGGACUCAUGCAAAUCAGUUGCUUAGCAACUAACCAUUGACUAGUAAUUGGGCAGGAUGAUCCCAAUCUAACUAAAUGUGAAGCAUCUUUCUCUAGUUUGAUGUGACCCUGGCUAACUCACUAGCAUAUGUGCAGUUGUGCAUGGACAUGUAGCCUAGCUCCUAGGCCUUUCAGGAUAAUUGUGCUUACUCACAUGAAAAUAGCCUAAACCAGUAGACCAGUGACUUUAUGUCAUAGUCAGUGAGGCAACCUGGAGAUAUAUUGUACAUGACUGGCAGCUUUCUACCAACACGCUGUAAUCUGUCAUCAUGGUGGAUGGCUAUAAACAGUGUUGUGGACAAGGCUAUUUAGCUACUUUCCCUUGUUGUUGUCCAGUUGGCAGGGAUACUUGGCUAUGUCCCUGUGUUAUUGAUUGCAGGUGAGCACUAAGCAUGCUAAUGACAUUUCCCCCUGAAUAGAUUAGCAUUGAUCAAUAUGGAGGAGACAUUUAACAGUACCAGCAUGUAUCUAAGAGAUUUGAAAACCCGACCGUAGGCAACAGAGUGACUAGGGUCUGGUUUCAAUGACGGACGCUUUAGGCGAUACGUCACUGCCUACGUCACUACUUUAUCUGCUUGAACAAAAUACUAAAUAGUAGCUAGCAAGAUGGAGAUCACAGAGGUUAUUUUUAAUGUGUGCAUUUCGCAAGUGGCUAGGUUUGCAUCAACUACCUUAACUUAAACCACUGCAAAGGCUUUGCUUGCAAACUUUGGUUUUCAAUCACGGAAUUCUGGCAUGUCUGCCUCAAGAUUUUUUUGGGAGAGCCCCCAGAUGUAUUAUUAUUUGUUCUUAUUGACUGAGGCAGUGAUGUAGUCCCUCUAUGCCAAAAUAGUUCAUCAUUGAAACCCUAGUCAAUGUGUUGCCUAGGGUCGUAUUUAAGAGUCUAUUUAUCUAACCUUGCUAUUUAUUCUAUGUCUGUCAGUGGCUCCUCCACUAAUUACACACCAUCUGGCAUUGCCCCUGUUUAAAUUGCCUCUAGUCUUUCACACUCAACCAUGGUGAUUGCAGCUGAUCUUCCAUUGAGGAGUCAUGCAACCUUUUAUGUAAAAGAAUGGAUGGAAGUCUAACUGACUUGGAUGGAGUGCACAGCCAGGGUGUUAUUCUGCCCCAGUGCACCCAGGCAGCCCCUGAGACUGGCCGACUCUGUAGCCACGUGCCGAAGCAGAGCCAGCCGAGCGUUGUCUUUCUGCUGCGUGUGGACAGGGAUGUGGAUGAGCCCUUGCUCCCUGACCCUAUCAGAGAGGGUAGUGCAUCAACACACUGAUUGACUGGCUCACGAGGCACUGACUUCUCUCUCUCGCACAAGGAUCAGGUUUUGACACAAAGCCAAGGCAGAUGAAAUAAUGUUAAAGACCUGGCACGUGAGACGGACAGGGAAAGGCAGCAUUUACAGAGUGCUAUAGGCUACAGUAAAUCAUCAUAUGUUGUAUAGCUAGAUCUAGCCUGGGCGUAAGAUGUAUGCAACUAUUUAUCUUUCAUCCACUAAUUUACUACAAAAAUAGAAACAGAAUAAUCAGGCAGCUCCAUCAUUAUUUUGCUUUGAGAUGAGUUGACUGUGUUAUAGCAUUGCAUGGCAGAGGAAAUGACCCAAUGCCCUGUGUGCUUCAAAUUGCUUCAAGAGCUGCUGCCCCUAAACACCAACUAAUCCCUUUGAAAACGGCCCGAGGCAUCAAUUUGAGUGUCAAAAUUGACUACAAAGUGUAAAGAGGAUAAUUUUGGUCAUAAAGUCAGUCUCGUCUGAAACUGAGUUUGGAUUACAAUUAUGUAAACAAAUCAUGCCCUCUUUUGCCAAGCUCCACGUGCAAAUCGCCCCUCUGCCCACUUCGCUUCCCUUUAUUCAACGUGGCUCCGUUGUUUCAUCGCCCCAAUGCGCUCAAAGGAUCACAGAAAUUUUAUACUGAAAAACCCUAUACAGAUUAACUAUGCAAUGCAUGCUUCCAGCAGGAUGCACAUCCAAAUGGUUUGCAUGCCCUGCUGAAGGAGCCCAGUGACAAAGUGCACAGUUAGGUGUCAGACUGAUCCCCUGGUCAUAAAUGGAUGCCGGCACCUACCAGAAGGAGAAAAUUUGUUUGAGAGAUGUUCAGUUUGCUGCCAAACAUGCAGCAUAGAGAAGACCGGCAAGGGGGCCCUCAUCACCAUCAUGAAGACAUGUCCUCACUGUAAGCAUUCCUAUGAAUGGAACAGUCAGCUACAUUUUGGCAAGUAUGCGGCCAGCAACCUUCACCUGUCAGCGGAAACAGCUUCUACAGGUUCAUCAUUUGUAAAAAUACAGAAGUAUCUUUGAUAAGGGGCUAGGAGCUGAUCUACGCUGCUAUACCCAUCAAUGGUGCGCUUGCAAAGACCUCACCUCCAGCCUCACCACUUGCCUGCUCACAAACGGUCGUCGAUGGGGAGGCAAUCACAGUCACUGUUCCAUAUGUGUUCACAGAUUCAUGAGGACAUAGACAAACACUAUCCAGGUUAGACUUCCACACGCCAUUCCCCCAGGGGGCAGCAGCAACCUUUGAGCCUGGUUGGUAAGCAUAUCAGGUUCUUUGUAGCUCAGUUGGUAGAGCAGGGUGCUUGUAAUGCCAGGGUAGUGAGUUCUAUUCCCAGGACCACCCAUAUGUAAAAUGUAUGCAAUCAUGGCUAAGUCGCUUAAAAGCGUCUGCUAAAUGGCAUAUACACGAGUGUACAAAACAAUAACACCUUCCUAAUAUUGACUUGCACCCCCCUAUUUUCCCUCAGAACAGCCUCAAUUCAUUGGGGCAUGGCCUCUACAAGGUGUCUCAAGCGUUCAAUAGAGAUGCUGGCCCAUGUUGACUCCAAUGCUUCCCAUAGUUGUGUCAAGUUGGCUGGAUGUCCUUUGAGUGGUAGACCAUUCUUGAUACACACUGGAAACUGUUGAGUGUGAAAAAUCCAGCAGCGUUGCAGUUCUUGACACAAACCAGUAGUAAACCUGCUACCAUACCCCGUUCAAAGGCACUUAAAUAUUUUGUCUUGCCCAUUCACCCUCUGAAUGGCACACAUACACAAUACAUGUCUCAAUUGUCUCAAUGCUUAAAAAUCCUUCUUUAACCUUUUUCCUUCCCUUCAUCCACACUGAUUAAAAUGGAUUUAACAAGUGACAUCAAUAAGGGAUCAUAGCUUUUACCUGGAUUCACCUGGUCAGUCUUUGUCAUGGAAAGAGCAGGUAUUCAUAAUGUUUUGUACACUCAGUAUAUAUUAUAUUUAAUUGGGGUGAAAGUAAUUUUUUUAUAUAUUUUUUAUUAUAUAUGUACUUGUUUGACAUUUUACUGCAUUGUUAGGAGCUAGUAACAAGCAUUUUGCUGCUCCCACUAUAACGUGUCACGCCUACUCCAGCGCUCGACGUCGCCGGUCUACUAACCCCGGUGUUGGCAACCAUCCUUACACACACCUGCUCCCCAUUAUUACGCACACCUGGACUACAUCAUCACCUUUAUUACACUCCCUUUAUUUGGCCCUCAGUAGCCUCAGUCAUAAGGCAGUGUUGGUUUGCUUUCAUGUUCAGUACGCAUUGCCUGUUUAGUUCAUUUGCCUUUCAUCAUUGUUAUUAAACUCUCCUUCUGCACCUGC